GGCUCAGGAUGAACGCUGGCGGCGUGCUUAACACAUGCAAGUCGAACGAUGAUCUCCAGCUUGCUGGGGGGAUUAGUGGCGAACGGGUGAGUAACACGUGAGUAACCUGCCCUUGACUCUGGGAUAAGCCUGGGAAACUGGGUCUAAUACUGGAUACGACCUUCCAUCGCAUGGUGGUUGGUGGAAAGCUUUUGUGGUUUUGGAUGGACUCGCGGCCUAUCAGCUUGUUGGUGGGGUAAUGGCCUACCAAGGCGACGACGGGUAGCCGGCCUGAGAGGGUGGACGGCCACACUGGGACUGAGACACGGCCCAGACUCCUACGGGAGGCAGCAGUGGGGAAUAUUGCACAAUGGGCGCAAGCCUGAUGCAGCGACGCCGCGUGAGGGAUGAAGGCCUUCGGGUUGUAAACCUCUUUCAGUAGGGAAGAA
rnacentral:rRNA from 1 species